AAUGCCACCGGCAGCGGUAUCACGUAUUUCGCAGACAAUUAGCAGAAGACAAAUAUUGUGCAAAUAUUGCUGUCAACUGUCCAUUUCGUAUUACGGACUUACAACAAAAAAGCAGAUCGCGGACCAUCACUAGUGCUGCCUCUGCAGAGCGAUUUGUGAAACUUUAGUGCAUUCUUUUCCAUACAACUAACAACAACUGGCAUAAAGUCGGUAUUACGGCAGCUGUAUCACGUAUUUCGCAGACAAUUAGCAGAAGACAAAUAUUGUGCAAAUAUUGCUGUCAACUGUCCAUUUCGUAUUACGGACUUACAACAAAAAAGCAGAUCGCGGACCAUCACUAGUGCUGCCUCUGCAGAGCGAUUUGUGAAACUUUAGUGCAUUCUUUUCCAUACAACUAACAACAACUGGCCUAAAGUCGGUAUUACGGAUGCUUUUGUUUGCCACACAACAGCAGAUAUUUAGCAAUUUCGUUUGUCAAAUUUGCGACACCUUUUGUAUCUGGUGCUGAAUUGUUGCUAACUAUCUGCAAGUGUAAAAUUUGUGAAAUUAAAUUAUUUUAACUUGAUUUAGGUAUGUAUGGACAGAGCUCAAAUAAUGGGGCUUUGGAGUCUAAGGAAAUUAGGUGGGAUACAUACGAAUCAGUGCGUUUGCGACGCUGUCUUCGGGAUCAAGCCUGACCCCUUAAUCUAUCGGAAAGUUUGUUCAGAACACAUUACAGAAUUUCGAAACAUCAAUAUUUACAAUUGUGCUCUGAAUUAAAGCCGUUAAUAACCUAGAUCAUCAAGACGAACAAGAAUAGAAAGUAAAAUGCAAGGUGUUAACAGCAUUGCAAAAUUUCAUACCAGAAACCUGUGGGAAUGAGCUUUUUGCAUUUUGAGUUAAACUGUAGUAAAUCCAAUGCCAUUAGGGAAGUGGCUAUGGCAUUAAACAAUCUUCCAGUUUUAUUGAAACAUUUAAAGUUUCUGCAAACAGUACAAUGGGUCACAAGUUAUUAUAAAUGGGUUUUACAAUAAAUUUGGCUUUCCUGGGGUUUCGGGGUGUAUAGAUGGCACUCAUUUGCACUUAUCAGAUCUUCUGUAUAUGAAGAAAGGUUUUAGAACCGCAAGCAUUAUCAUUUCAAGAAUGUGCAAAUAAUAUGUGAUAGUGAUCUUAACAUUUUUAGUAUUGAUGCAACAUUUCAUGAUACAUUUGUCUGGCUUAUCACAACUGAAUAUGCCUAUGCAGGACCUGCACCAUAAUAGUGAAAAAGUUUGGUUUUUAGGCAAGUAAAACAUCAUGAGCUCUGUCUCAGUAACCUGACUACAAAAUAAUACUCAAUCUAAAAGUAUAUUUAAAACUGGGAAGGCAGUUAAUAUAUAGUACUAUAGUAAUGUUUAUUGUCAUACCAGGAACACUGUUGACCAUUGUGAGUAUUGAAAGCCAGUUGGAGAUGCUUGUUGGUACAUAGAGUACUGCAUUAUGAUCAUCAUAUGAUGGCCAAGACCAUAAUUGUUAGCUUGUAUUGCAUAACAUGGCAAACACAUGGGUUUCCAGUGCCCCAACUCUCUGAUGAAGAUGCUGAAAUUGAUGUUUCUUAUCAAAUUCAUAACAUUGUAUUUUUUGGGAGAGAAGAGGAAACACAGCACUUAGCACCAUGUCAACAUUCAAGGGUGGUUCAAUUGGAUUGUGGAGAACAGACAUUAAAUUUAGUCUCAACCUCUGUAUUCUAGUAAUUUUAUGUAGAUAUUUUUAAAACUGCUGUUCUUAAUUAUGUGAACUGAGAGGGCAAGAAUAGCCUAAUUAUUUCUGCCUAUAAUUUUUUAAUUGUGCUUAGUGGAAAUAUACAUAUUUCCUUAACAUUUUUGUGUUUAUAGUAAAGGAUGGAUUCAUAACUAUUUGAAAGCAAAAUUGUGAGGUUGUUUUAUUAAGACAAUGUUUUAAUCUGUCGUGCUCAAUUUGUUCUGUAUCAUUUUAUCUUUAUGUUAACCCCGUUUGUAUGUUGUGUUGUUAUAUAUAUUAUUGUAUAUACUGCUGUUUUAAAUAAUGGAAUAGAAUUAAUAACAAAUCGACUAGUAAUUCAUAAUUCUUCUAGAUUUUGUUGGAUAGUUACAUGAAUAUUACUUACAAAAUGAAAAACAUAAUUCAUAAUUUAGACAAAAUGUUGAUCAACCACCACUGAUUUUUGUUCAUUGUGAUAAUAAUAAUAAUAUAAAUAUAAAUAUUUAACUGGUCCCGUGAUAAGUUCGUAAAGAACUUGUGUUACAGGUACCAGAUAACGGAAAUAAAUGUAGGAUUUUUAUUAUACAUACAUAUAUUUAAUAUACAUCCAUAACCCUGGAAAAUACAUUUAUAUUUAUCAUACAAAUAUCUUCCCUUGGCGGGAUUCGAACCCGCGACCCCCUUGUGUAGCGACCAUGUCACUUACCACUACACCAGAAGGCCGUAAGAUAAGUUUGAUAAAAAUUUUUUUUGUGUAAUUUUGUUAUAUUUGAAUAAUAAUUCUUAAAUUAGGAAA